AAGUCGUAACAAGGUCUCCGUUGGUGAACCAGCGGAGGGAUCAUUACCGAGUUUACAACUCCCAAACCCCUGUGAACAUACCACUUGUUGCCUCGGCGGAUCAGCCCGCUCCCGGUAAAACGGGACGGCCCGCCAGAGGACCCAAACAAAACUCUUUGCAUUUUGAAUACAGUAUUCUGAGUGACAUGAUUAAAUAAAUCAAAACUUUCAACAACGGAUCUCUUGGCUCUG
rnacentral:misc_RNA from 1 species